AGGCUCUCCCUGCAGCUCUGGCUGCCUGCUGACCCGGGAGGUGACCACGCAGGCAACCUGCAUCAUCGGACCAACAGCUGACUUUCCAUCAACCAGAACGCUAAAUUUUACAUCCAACAGCGGCUGUGAUUUGAUGCCCACAAUCAACAGAAAGAGGCUUAUAGGCAAAAGAAAUAACCAAAUGGUAGCAGUAACUGUCACGUCAAGUCAGAGUGGGGAGCUGGCAAAAGCCACUCAGGGCUUGAAAACCACAGAUUAUAGUCCUAAAGGUAAAGGAUAAAAGAUAAAGACUUAAAGAAAAUUACAAGACAACACUUGGAGAGGUGACAAAGAAUUUUAAUCAACCAAGCAAUUACCAGAGGAGAGA